CAAACUGAAGAUGGCGACCGGCGCACGGGUGAGUAACACGUAUCCAACCUGCCGAUAACUCGGGGAUAGCCUUUCGAAAGAAAGAUUAAUACCCGAUGGCAUAAUAGAACCGCAUGGUUUGAUUAUUAAAGAAUUUCGGUUAUCGAUGGGGAUGCGUUCCAUUAGGCAGUUGGUGGGGUAACGGCCCACCAAACCUUCGAUGGAUAGGGGUUCUGAGAGGAAGGUCCCCCACAUUGGAACUGAGACACGGUCCAAACUCCUACGGGAGGCAGCAUG
rnacentral:rRNA from 1 species